rnacentral:lncRNA from 1 species
GGGAGAGAAGCCCUCUGGACAGCUUCUAGAGUGUGCAGGUUCUCGUAUCCCUCGGUCAAGGGUAUCCUCUGUAAACUUCUGCAAACCCAGCGCAACUACGGUUCCCCGGACAGACCCAGGAUGCGGCCAGGACGGACAGGGCCCUCGCCACUGCCGCUGCUGCUGGUGUUAGCGCUCAGUCAAGGCAUUUUAAAUUGUUGUUUGGCAUACAAUGUUGGUCUCCCUGAAGCAAAAAUAUUUUCUGGUCCUUCAAGUGAACAGUUUGGCUAUGCAGUGCAGCAGUUCAUAAAUCCAAAAGGCAACUGGUAAGAAUAUUCUCUUCUUUAUGAUUUCAAUAAAAACACAAAAUAAAUUUCAUAUUUGACUUC